UCCUGGUCAGCUCAGUCGGUAGGGCGCUUCACUGGAAAUAGAGAGGUUCCUGGUUCGAUGCCAGGACCACGCG
rnacentral:tRNA from 1 species